GAUGAACGCUGGCGGCGUGCCUAAUACAUGCAAGUCGAGCGAACAGACGAGGAGCUUUCUCCUCUGCCGUUAGCGGCGGACGGGUGAGUAACACGUGGAUAACCUACCUAUAAGACUGGGAUAACUUCGGGAAACCGGAGCUAAUACCGGAUAAUAUAUUGAACCGCAUGGUUCAAUAGUGAAAGACGGUUUUGCUGUCACUUGUAGAUGGAUCCGCGCCGCAUUAGCUAGUUGGUAAGGUAACGGCUUACCAAGGCAACGAUGCGUAGCCGACCUGAGAGGGUGAUCGGCCACACUGGAACUGAGACACGGUCCAGACUCCUACGGGAGGCAGCAGUAGGGAAUCUUCCGCAAUGGGCGAAAGCCUGACGGAGCAACGCCGCGUGAGUGAUGAAGGUCUUCGGAUCGUAAAACUCUGUUAUUAGGGAAGAACAAAUGUGUAAGUAACUAUGCACGUCUUGACGGUACCUAAUCAGAAAGCCACGGCUAACUACGUG
rnacentral:rRNA from 1 species